rnacentral:rRNA from 1 species
UGUCAAAUCAUCAUGCCCCUUAAGUUCUGGGCUACACACGUACUACAAUGGCGCAAACAAAGGGCAGCGAAGGGGCGACCCGGAGCGAAUCCCAAAAAAGGCGUCCCAGUUCGGAUCGCAGGCUGCAACCCGCCUGCGUGAAGUCGGAAUUGCUAGUAAUCGCGGAUCAGCAUGCCGCGGUGAAUACGUUCCCGGGCUUU